UGCAUCUAUGUAUUGCGCUGCGUCGAU
rnacentral:piRNA from 1 species